GACGAACGCUGGCGGCGUGCCUAAUACAUGCAAGUCGAACGAAACUUUCUUACACCGAAUGCUUGCGUUCCCGUAAGAAGUUGAGUGGCGGACGGGUGAGUAACACGUGGGUAACCUGCCUGAAAGAAGGGGACAACACUUGGAAACAAGUGCUAAUACCGUAUAUCUCUAAGGAUCGCAUGAUCCUUAGAUGAAAGAUGGUUCUGCUAUCGCUUUUAGAUGGACCCGCGGCGUAUUAACUAGUUGGUGGGGUAACGGCCUACCAAGGUGAUGAUACGUAGCCGAACUGAGAGGUUGAUCGGCCACAUUGGGACUGAGACACGGCCCAAACUCCUACGGGAGGCAGCAGUAGGGAAUCUUCCACAAUGGACGCAAGUCUGAUGGAGCAACGCCGCGUGAGUGAAGAAGGUCUUCGGAUCGUAAAACCCUGUCGUUAGAGAAGAACACGAGUGAGAGUAAUCUGUUCAUUU
rnacentral:rRNA from 2 species